rnacentral:rRNA from 1 species
GACGAACGCUGGCGGCGUGCCUAAUACAUGCAAGUAGAACGCUGAAGGAGGAGCUUGCUUCUCUGGAUGAGUUGCGAACGGGUGAGUAACGCGUAGGUAACCUGCCUGGUAGCGGGGGAUAACUAUUGGAAACGAUAGCUAAUACCGCAUAAUAGCAGUUGUUGCAUGAUAACUGUUUGAAAGGUGCAAUUGCACCACUACCAGAUGGACCUGCGUUGUAUUAGCUAGUUGGUGGGGUAACGGCUCACCAAGGCGACGAUACAUAGCCGACCUGAGAGGGUGAUCGGCCACACUGGGACUGAGACACGGCCCAGACUCCUACGGGAGGCAGCAGUAGGGAAUCUUCGGCAAUGGACGGAAGUCUGACCGAGCAACGCCGCGUGAGUGAAGAAGGGUUUCGGAUCGUAAAGCUCGGUUGUAAGAGAAGAACGAGUGUGAGAGUGGAAAGUUCACACUGUGACGGUAUCUUACCAGAAAGGGACGGCUAACUACGUG